rnacentral:rRNA from 1 species
UGGGGAAUAUUGGACAAUGGGCGAAAGCCUGAUCCAGCCAUGCCGCGUGUGUGAAGAAGGUCUUCGGAUUGUAAAGCACUUUAAGUUGGGAGGAAGGGCAGUAAGUUAAUACCUUGCUGUUUUGACGUUACCGACAGAAUAAGCACCGGCUAACUCUGUGCCAGCAGCCGCGGUAAUACAGAGGGUGCAAGCGUUAAUCGGAAUUACUGGGCGUAAAGCGCGCGUAGGUGGUUUGUUAAGUUGGAUGUGAAAGCCCCGGGCUCAACCUGGGAACUGCAUCCAAAACUGGCAAGCUAGAGUACGGUAGAGGGUGGUGGAAUUUCCUGUGUAGCGGUGAAAUGCGUAGAUAUAGGAAGGAACACCAGUGGCGAAGGCGACCACUUGGACUGAUACUGACACUGAGGUGCGAAAGCGUGGGGAGCAAACAGGAUUAGAUACCCAAGUAGUCCCUGAGCGGGCUGGCAAGGCGCAU